GAGUCAGACCUAGGCUCUCGCAGGGAACUGCAUCGCGCUCCCAGCUCUGCUGCCUCGGUGCGGGGACGGGGCUCUGCAUGAGGACUGGGAAUGUAAGUCCCGGGCCUGGACAGGCGCCCCUGGGAGCUAGCCUGGAGGAGAUCCAGUAGAAGGCUGAGGAGUCGGCUUGGAGGGUCUCGGCAAGGCCGCGCGGAUGGAGAUGAAGCUGCGAAGAAUGCUGAGAAAGGGGGGCCGGGGGCCUUGGAGGGAAGCUAGGGAAACGCUGCGGGGGCAGCCGAGGCCGCCGGCGCCCCGGGAGAAGAGACCUUCACUGCUUCUAUCAGUCACCAUAUCUGAAUCUUGGCUUGCCACUCAAUCCUCCAAUAUCGACCAACAACAGGAGAUUCUAUCUGAGGGGGGAGGUGUUUCCCUGACUAGACUCUAAAUACAAAUCCUCCACUUCUCCAUCUGUCUCUCCAGUGAUCUCAGAGGCAUGGUCUUAACACCGUGCACAGUUCCUUGCAAGUUGAAGAGUAGACCCAAAUCAUCAGUUCUAAAAUUCUAUUCUUAUUGAAGAUUACUGGUGGAAAUAUCA
rnacentral:lncRNA from 1 species